UACGUAGGGCGCAAGCGUUGUCCGGAAUUAUUGGGCGUAAAGAGCUCGUAGGCGGUUUGUCGCGUCUGUCGUGAAAGCCCACAGCUUAACUGUGGGUCUGCGGUGGAUACGGGCAGACUAGAGGCAGGUAGGGGAGAACGGAAUUCCCGGUGUAGCGGUGAAAUGCGCAGAUAUCUGGAGGAACACCGGUGGCGAAGGCGGCAUCCUGGACCGGCAUUGACGCUGAGGCGCGAAAGCUAGGGGAGCAAACGGG
rnacentral:rRNA from 1 species